rnacentral:rRNA from 1 species
AGUGAACGCUGGCGGCAGGCCUAACACAUGCAAGUCGAACGGCAGCACAAGAGAGCUUGCUCUCUGGGUGGCGAGUGGCGGACGGGUGAGGAAUGCAUCGGAAUCUGCCCAUUUGUGGGGGAUAACCUCGGGAAACCGGGACUAAUACCGCAUACGACCUACGGGUGAAAGCAGGGGAUCUUCGGACCUUGCGCAGAUGGAUGAGCCGAUGCCGGAUUAGCUAGUUGGAGAGGUAAAGGCCCACCAAGGCGACGAUCCGUAGCUGGUCUGAGAGGAUGAUCGGCCAACCGGGGAAGGGGACACGGCCCAGACUCCUACGGGGGGCAGCGGGGGGGAAUAUUGGACAAGGGGCGCAAGCCUGAUCCAGCCAUGCCGGGGGUGGGAAGAAGGCCUUCGGGUUGUAAAGCACUUUUGUUGGGAAAGAAAAGCAGCCGGUUAAUACCCGGUUGUCAUGACGGUACCCAAAGAAUAAGCACCGGCUAACUGCGG